rnacentral:rRNA from 1 species
GUGGGGAAUAUUGGACAAUGGGGGGAACCCUGAUCCAGCCAUGCCGCGUGUGUGAAGAAGGCCUUUUGGUUGUAAAGCACUUUAAGCGAGGAGGAGGCUACCGAGAUUAAUACUCUUGGAUAGUGGACGUUACUCGCAGAAUAAGCACCGGCUAACUCUGUGCCAGCAGCCGCGGUAAUACAGAGGGUGCAAGCGUUAAUCGGAUUUACUGGGCGUAAAGCGCGCGUAGGUGGCCAAUUAAGUCAAAUGUGAAAUCCCCGAGCUUAACUUGGGAAUUGCAUUCGAGAGUGGUUGGCUAGAGUAUGGGAGAGGAUGGUAGAAUUCCAGGUGUAGCGGUGAAAUGCGUAGAGAUCUGGAGGAAUACCGAUGGCGAAGGCAGCCAUCUGGCCUAAUACUGACACUGAGGUGCGAAAGCAUGGGGAGCAAACAGGAUUAGAAACCCGGGUAGUCC